GUCCACGCCCUAAACGAUGGAUACUAGUCGUCGGGACACCUAAUCGUCUCGGUGACGUCGCUAACGCAUUAAGUAUCCCGCCUGGGGAGUACGGUCGCAAGAUUAAAACUCAAAGGAAUUGACGGGGGCCCGCACAAGCGGUGGAGCAUGUGGUUUAAUUCGAUGCUACGCGAAAACCUUACCUAGGCUUGACAUCCCGGGCUAUCCUGUGAAAGCAGGAGUUCCCUUACGGGACCCGGUGACAGGUGCUGCAUGGCUGUCGU
rnacentral:rRNA from 1 species